CAUCGUCCGUCGCUCCUACUGAUUGAAUGGUCCGGUGAGGUGUACUCAGAUUGCGGCGACAUGAGCGGUUCGCUGCCCCUGACGUUGUGAGAAGUCCACUGAACCUUAUCAUUUAGAGGAAUGAGAAGUCGUAACAAGUUUUCCGUAGGUGAACUUGCGGAAG
rnacentral:rRNA from 1 species